rnacentral:rRNA from 1 species
UGGGGAAUAUUGCACAAUGGGCGCAAGCCUGAUGCAGCCAUGCCGCGUGUGUGAAGAAGGCCUUAGGGUUGUAAAGCACUUUCAGCGAGGAGGAAGGCAUCACACUUAAUACGUGUGGUGAUUGACGUUACUCGCAGAAGAAGCACCGGCUAACUCCGUGCCAGCAGCCGCGGUAAUACGGAGGGUGCAAGCGUUAAUCGGAAUUACUGGGCGUAAAGCGCACGCAGGCGGUUUGUUAAGUCAGAUGUGAAAUCCCCGCGCUUAACGUGGGAACUGCAUUUGAAACUGGCAAGCUAGAGUCUUGUAGAGGGGGGUAGAAUUCCAGGUGUAGCGGUGAAAUGCGUAGAGAUCUGGAGGAAUACCGGUGGCGAAGGCGGCCCCCUGGANAAAGACUGACGCUCAGGUGCGAAAGCGUGGGGAGCAAACAGGGAUUAGAGUACCCAUGGUAGUCCCACGCUGUAAAACCGAUGUCGACUUGGAGGUUGUGCCCUUGAGGCGUGGCUUCCGGAGCUAACGCGUUAAGUCGACCGCCUGGGGAGUACGGCCGCAAGGUUAAACUCAAAUGAAUUGACGGGGGUCAUAGCAUGUUUCCUG